rnacentral:lncRNA from 1 species
CUCCAGCUGCUGUUUUUCCCUGUGUGGCUUGCAACUUCCCUUUGGCCAUCCUCGCUUCUGUCUACAGAGAGCAUUCAUUGCCUAUUAGUCCUUUGCUGACUGCCUCUUGUUACUGCCUGUCCCUGACCUAGGCUUUGGCCAAAACUCAGAAGGCCCUGCUCUUUCGUUGCAGGACAUCCUUGGUACCCAGACACACAACUUUGGAACCCUCCCCUGUGAGUGACAGCGUGACACAAAUACUCACCAUCUCCCAGAUGCUUCGGAAGACAUCCCUUCCUGCAGAUACUCACCAUCUCCCAGAUGCUUCGGAAGCUUCUUUUCUUUGAGAUAGGCAGACUCUUCCAUGCAUGUUGCUUGAAACAGAUACACUUCCCUUUGCAGUAUUGCUUCCUCAUCCAAAAACUCAUCCUCCUCCAGGUAGUCCUCCUCAGACUCCUCAUCCUCAAAGUCUAGAAACUCUAAGUCAUCCUCAGACCCUAUAGACUCAUCCUCGGCAUCAAACAGACGUUCCUUCUGUGAACUCUCAUUUUUCUGUGGGGAAAAUGUCCGUCUGGAGUCCUUGAAAGCCUUGGGAAGGUCAAGACUCGAGGGUCUUGGUGAUAAAUUAUCAUCAGACAUGAUAGAGAAGCCUGUGCGGAUGAGUCCUUUCAGUAGCACGUAAUGCUAAUUUAUCAUCCUGGCAGACGAGAAAGGAAUAAAACACCAUUAGUAAGUACAAGCCCGCCAAAUAUGAUGGAGUUUGGUACUGUUCACUCUUCCUUUAAUAGCCUCUUG